rnacentral:rRNA from 1 species
AUAUGUUUAACGGCCGCAGUAUUAACCGCGCGAAGGUAGCGCAAUCACUUGUCUUUUAAAUGAAGACCUGUAUGAAUGGCUAAACGAGGGCUUAACUGUCUCCUUUUUCAUGUCAAUGAAAUUGAUUUCCCCGUGCAGAAGCGGGGAUGCCACCAUAAGACGAGAAGACCCUAUGGAGCUUUAGACACUAAAGAAGCCCAUGUCCCCAACCCUCCCACACGAAAUUAAACUAGUGGUGCACCUUCCCUAAUGUCUUUGGUUGGGGCGACCGCGGAGAACUACAAAACCCCCGCGUGGAAUGGGCACAUCCGUUCCUUAAAUCAAGAGCCACAGCUCUAACUAACAGUAAUUCUGACCACUCUAGAUCCGGCAAGGCCGAUCAACGGACCCAGUUACCCUAGGGAUAACAGCGCAAUCCUCUUUUAGAGUUCAUAUCGACAAGGGGGUUUACGACCUCGAUGUUGGAUCAGGACAUCCUAAUGGUGCAGCCGCUAUUAAGGGUCCGUUUGUUCAACGGUU